UACGGAGGAUGCGAGCGUUAUCCGGAUUUAUUGGGUUUAAAGGGUGCGUAGGCGGAAUGGUAAGUCAGUGGUGAAAUGGUGCAGCUCAACUGUAGCAUUGCCAUUGAUACUGUCAUUCUUGAGUACAGAUGAGGUAGGCGGAAUGUGGUGUGUAGCGGUGAAAUGCUUAGAUAUACCACAGAACACCGAUUGCGAAGGCAGCUUACUAAGCUGACACUGACGCUGAAGCACGAAAGCGUGGGUAUCAAAC
rnacentral:rRNA from 2 species